ACAAAACCAAAAAAAAAC
rnacentral:sRNA from 1 species